rnacentral:rRNA from 1 species
AUUGAACGCUGGCGGCAGGCCUAACACAUGCAAGUCGAGCGGCAGAAGAGAGCUUGCUCCUGGAUUCAGCGGCGGACGGGUGAGUAAUGCCGAGGAAUCUGCCUGUUAGUGGGUGAUAACGUCCGGACACGGGCGCUAAUACCGCAUACGUCCUGAGGGCGUAAGUGUGGAAGCUUCGGACCUCACGCUAUCACAUGAGCCUAGGUGGGAUUAGCUAGUUGGGGGGGUAAAGGCCUACCAAGGCGACGAUGCGUAACUGGUAUGAGAGGAUGAUCAGACACACUGGAACUUAGACACGGUCCAGACCCCUACGGGGGGCAGCAGUGGGGAAUAUUGGACCAUGGGGGGAAGGCUGGUCCAGGCAUACCGGGGUGUGGGAGGAGGGCUUCGGGUUGGUAAAGCCCUUUAUGUGGGAAGAAAGGCAGCAAGUUAAUACCCCGCUGGUCUGACGGUAACCAAAGAAUAAGCACCGGCUAACUUCGUG